GUUAACACCAAUUCUCAUACGAUCACCAAAGUUAAGCAUCAUUGAGCCUGGUCAGUAUCUAGAUGGGUGACCACUUGGGAAUC